GACGAACGCUGGCGGCGUGCUUAACACAUGCAAGUCGAACGGAAAGGCCCUGCUUUUGUGGGGUGCUCGAGUGGCGAAAGGGUGAGUAACACGUGAGUAACCUGCCCUUGACUUUGGGAUAACUUCAGGAAACUGGGGCUAAUACCGGAUAGGAGCUCCCGCUGCAUGGUGGGGGUUGGAAAGUUUCGGCGGUUGGGGAUGGACUCGCGGCUUAUCAGCUUGCUGGUGGGGUAGUGGCUUACCAAGGCUUUGACGGGUAGCCGGCCUGAGAGGGUGACCGGCCACAUUAGGACUGGGAUACGGCCCAGACUCCUACGGGAGGCAGCAGUGGAGAAGAUUGCACAAUGGGCGGAAGCCUGAUGCAGCAACGCCGCGUGCGGGAUGACGGCCUUCGGGUUGUAAACCGCUUUCGCCUGUGACGAAGCGUGAGUGACGGUAAUGGGUAAAGAAGCACCGGCUAACUACGUG
rnacentral:rRNA from 1 species